rnacentral:rRNA from 1 species
AGUGAACGCUGGCGGCGUGCCUAAUACAUGCAAGUCGAACGGAGUGGCGCACGGGGGAGUAAUGUAUAGCUAAUCUGCCCUACACUAGAGGACAACAGUUGGGAACGACUGCUAAUACUCUAUAGUGUAGGAUGAGGCUAUAUUGUAUCAGCUAGUUGGUGAGGUAAUGGCGCACCAAGGCUAUGACGCAUAACUGGUCUGAGAGGACGAUCAGUAACACUGUAACUGAGACACGGUUCAGACUCCUACGGGAGGGAGCAGUAGGGAAUAUUGCCCAAUGCGCGUAACCCUGAAGCAGCAUCGCCGUGUGGAGGAUGAUCCUUUUCGGAGCGUAAACUCCUUUUGUUACGGAAGCGUUACCUACCGAAUAAGCACCGGCUAACUCCGUGCCAGCAGCCGCGGUAAUAC